ACGCUGGCGGCGUGCCUAACACAUGCAAGUCGAACGAAGCAGCAAUGCUUAGUGGCAGACGGGUGAGUAACGCGUAGAUAAUGUGCCCUCUUGCGGGGAUACCGUUUCGAAAGGAACGUUAAUACCGCAUAAAGUCCUUAGGAGGCAUCUCCCUAGGACCAAACUUCCGGGGCGGGAGGAGCAAUCUGCGUACUAUCAGCUAGUUGGUGAGGUAAUGGCUCACCAAGGCUACGACGGUUAACUGGUCUGAGAGGAUGAUCAGUCACACUGGAACUGAGACACGGUCCAGACUCCUACGGGAGGCAGCAGUGAGGAAUAUUGCGCAAUGGGCGAAAGCCUGACGCAGCGACGCCGCGUGGAGGAUGACGGAUUUCGGUCUGUAAACUCCUGUCAGUAGGGAAGAGAAUGGACGGUACCUACUGAGGAAGCUUCGGCUAACUACGUGCCAGCAGCCGCGGUAAGACGUAGGAAGCAAGCGUUGUCCGGAAUUACUGGG
rnacentral:rRNA from 1 species